CAGUAGCCGCGGGAAUACGUAGGGUGCAAGCGUUAGUCGAAAUUACUGGGCGUAAAGCGUGCGCAGGCGGUCCGCUAAGACAGAUGUGAAAUCCCCGGGCUUAACCUGGGAACUGCAUUUGAGACUGUAUGGCUAGAGUGUGUCAGAGGGGGGUAGAAUUCCACGUGUAGCAGUGAAAUGCGUAGAUAUGUGGAGGAAUACCGAUGGCGAAGGCAGCCCCCUGGGAUAACACUGACGCUCAUGCACGAAAGCGUGGGGAGCAAACAGGAUUAGAGACCCCAGUAGUCCCUGUCUCUUAUAC
rnacentral:rRNA from 1 species